rnacentral:rRNA from 1 species
UACGGAGGGGGCGAGCGUUGUUCGGAGUUACUGGGCGUAAAGCGCACGUAGGCGGUGCGGUAAGUCAGGGGUUAAAGGCUGCAGCUCAACUGCAGUAAGGCCUUUGAUACUAUCGUGCUAGAGUGUCAGAGAGGAUGGCGGAAUUCCCUGUGUAGCGGUGAAAUGCGUAGAUAUAGGGAGGAACACCGGUUGCGAAGGCGGCUACCUGGCCGGUAACUGACGCUGAGGUGCGAGAGCGUGGGGAGCAAACAGG